rnacentral:rRNA from 1 species
UACGUAGGGACCAAGCGUUGUUCGGAUUUACUGGGCGUAAAGGGCGCGUAGGCGGUUUGUCAAGUCAGUUGUGAAAUCUCCGAGCUUAACUCGGAACGGUCAACUGAUACUGUCAAACUAGAGUACAGAAGGGGCAAUCGGAAUUCUUGGUGUAGCGGUGAAAUGCAUAGAUAUCAAGAGGAACACCUGAGGUGAAGACGGGUUGCUGGGCUGAUACUGACGCUGAGGCGCGAAAGCUAGGGUAGCAAACGGG